rnacentral:rRNA from 1 species
AAUACAUGCAGUCGAACGCACAGCGAAAGGUGCUUGCACCUUUCAAGUGAGUGGCGAACGGGUGAGUAACACGUGGACAACCUGCCUCAAGGCUGGGGAUAACAUUUGGAAACAGAUGCUAAUACCGAAUAAAACUUAGUGUCGCAUGACACAAAGUUAAAAGGCGCUUCGGCGUCACCUAGAGAUGGAUCCGCGGUGCAUUAGUUAGUUGGUGGGGUAAAGGCCUACCAAGACAAUGAUGCAUAGCCGAGUUGAGAGACUGAUCGGCCACAUUGGGACUGAGACACGGCCCAAACUCCUACGGGAGGCUGCAGUAGGGAAUCUUCCACAAUGGGCGAAAGCCUGAUGGAGCAACGCCGCGUGUGUGAUGAAGGCUUUCGGGUCGUAAAGCACUGUUGUAUGGGAAGAACAGCUAGAAUAGGAAAUGAUUUUAGUUUGACGGUACCAUACCAGAAAGGGACGGCUAAAUACGUGCCAGCAGCCGCGGUAAUACGUAUGUCCCGAGCGUUAUCCGGAUUUAUUGGGCGUAAAGCGAGCGCAGACGGUUUAUUAAGUCUGAUGUGAAAGCCCGGAGCUCAACUCCGGAAUGGCAUUGGAAACUGGUUAACUUGAGUGCAGUAGAGGUAAGUGGAACUCCAUGUGUAGCGGUGGAAUGCGUAGAUAUAUGGAAGAACACCAGUGGCGAAGGCGGCUUACUGGACUGCAACUGACGUUGAGGCUCGAAAGUGUGGGUAGCAAACAGGAUUAGAUACCCUGGUAGUCCACACCGUAAACGAUGAACACUAGGUGUUAGGAGGUUUCCGCCUCUUAGUGCCGAAGCUAACGCAUUAAGUGUUCCGCCUGGGGAGUACGACCGCAAGGUUGAAACUCAAAGGAAUUGACGGGGACCCGCACAAGCGGUGGAGCAUGUGGUUUAAUUCGAAGCAACGCGAAGAACCUUACCAGGUCUUGACAUCCUUUGAAGCUUUUAGAGAUAGAAGUGUUCUCUUCGGAGACAAAGUGACAGGUGGUGCAUGGUCGUCGUCAGCUCGUGUCGUGAGAUGUUGGGUUAAGUCCCGCAACGAGCGCAACCCUUAUUGUUAGUUGCCAGCAUUCAGAUGGGCACUCUAGCGAGACUGCCGGUGACAAACCGGAGGAAGGCGGGGACGACGUCAGAUCAUCAUGCCCCUUAUGACCUGGGCUACACACGUGCUACAAUGGCGUAUACAACGAGUUGCCAACCCGCGAGG